UGUCAGAAGUGGUAUUCGAACCUACGUCUUCUAGAGAGAACUACGACCUGAACACAGCGUCUUAGACCGCUCGGCCUUUAUGAC